GGCGGCGAUGGGGGGGCUCGGUUGACACGGCGCUGCCUGUUCCCCGUCCCCGGGCGCUCUCCGCCGCUGCCCCCUCCUCAGCGAGGGACCGCGGGCCGCUCUCGCCGCACGGAGACGGAGCAGGGAUGCGGGAGAGGCCCGCAGGCUGCGGCGCACCGGCCUCCCCCAGCUCCUUCCCGCCCGCCCGGUCACCUUCCCGCGACCCCGGCGCGGGGGAGGCGUGGGGUCCCAGGAAACACCCUGAAGCGUGGUCAAGUGCCAGAGUCCAAUUACACUCCCAGAGAACCUUUGCCUGCCACAGUUAGUCUAAACAAGCAACAUCAAACAAACCAUCUGUGGAAAGAAAAACAGCCAUAAUCACGUUUCCAGCCAACACUCUGCUGACCCAUGAUACAGGAAAAAUGCAGAGGAUUAGGAACGCUUUCCCUGGUUGCUCAGGCAACAGCAAGACAUGGGAAUAUGAAAAGGUACCACCAUCCUUUGUACAGAAUCUCACUACACUUCUCAAAUGUGUUUAGAAUUUUUUGUUUUUCUUCUUUCCCAUUGUCACAUACUUAAAACAUGAACAUUAUUUGUUUAGUCUGCAACCUAGAAUGUGAAAAUGUUAAAUAUAAAAACAGAUAAUCUGUCUUUUUCCUACAGGAUAAAAUAAGUAGUUUUCUAAGAGGCUGUGGAAAUUUUCAAAAUUGUGCACUGAAAGGUUUCUAGGUGGUAUCCAAAACACAGCUACUAUUAUCUCUCUUUAAAAAUCCUCUAAUUUUGUGGUAUCUCUUAAGAAAAUAAAAUAAUUAUUCCUUCAUCUGCUUUUUUUUUCCCACUUACAUGUGCAAAUACCUAACAAAUAGGCCCCAUAAAGCUGCAACUUCACAGACCUAAUUAACUGUCAAAAUAAACUUACAGAGAAAGAUUGUUUCUGAAGGCUUUAUUUUCCAAAUUAAAAAAAGAUGCUUGGAAAUCAGAAAUUAAUGUAAGAAUACAAAGUAAAUAGUAUUCCAAGUUAGACAUCUGUAAGUUAUCUGACACAGGCACAAAAAUUCCAUCCAUAUAUCUGUGUAAAUUUAUAUCAUAGAAACUUAAUACAAACGGCAAACAUAUUUUUGGCUGGCCUGAUCUAUGGAAUUUUGGACCACUUAAUGGUUGAGGGAUUUUUAUCACUUGGUUUUGUGUUUUUAAGUAUGUAAACUAUACUUGUAAUGAAAGGAAUGUCCAUGAAUUAUGUGUGAGUGUGAGUCAUGGACCAGGCACUGCCUGCACCUCUGCGUGAGGUAAUUUCUGCUUUGACUCAGUGUCUGUCAGGGUCACACACCCCCUCUCAGUUCUGGUGCUGAUUGUGAAGGAUUCCAGCCUUGGCCUGAGUCAUCACUGGCUCUGUCAAGCAGGUGUUUUUCAAACUCCUUUCAGGACAUGUCAAUAGGAUUUCCCCCCACCUCUCCCUUCUCCUUGCUGUUCAUUGAAACACGUCCCCAGAUGCCACAGCAGCCCUGGGAUGGUUGGUCUGUACAGAUACUCUUUCCACUACCAACCUGCUACAUUUCCUGCUGUCUAUUUUGAGUUCUUGGAUGAUACAUACCACAAAAAACCAAAUAUGCAUACACCUCCAGGGUUCUGGGCUUCCAGAGCACCUGCUCCCCAUUUGUUGGGGUAUUGGGUAAUCCUGUUGCACAGUGUUCUGUCAGUGUAUGGGGUUGGUGGUGAAUGAAUGAAACCAGAGCAUGGAGCCCACACAGCAGCUGUUGGGAUUGCUCUUGCAAUUUCAGAGCAUUCAGGGGAAGUGUAAACCUCCCAAGAAACUCAGAAACCCUGAAACUGGGUGUGUAUUCAGCAGAAAGACUGAUGCUGAAGAGCCUUUAUGUGCUGUCCCUAAAACAAGUGAGGCUAAUGUUUGCAGAAUUCUUCUCACACCUAUUUGUAUCACAUGUCCCCAGUGCCUCUUCAUGCUUGUCCUCUGCUCAGACAGACAAUUCCCAAAGGGCAUUUUAAAUUAUUCUUUACAACUAUCCAAGUCUCUUUUCAACUACCUUCAGACUGCUCAGUAUAUUCCUUUAUCAUGAAGAUGUUUUGUC